AGUCGAACGAUGAUGCCCAGCUUGCUGGGUGGAUUAGUGGCGAACGGGUGAGUAACACGUGAGUAACCUGCCCUUGACUUCGGGAUAACUCCGGGAAACCGGGGCUAAUACCGGAUAUGAGCCGCCUUCGCAUGGGGGUGGUUGGAAAGUUUUUCGGUCAGGGAUGGGCUCGCGGCCUAUCAGCUUGUUGGUGGGGUGAUGGCCUACCAAGGCGACGACGGGUAGCCGGCCUGAGAGGGCGACCGGCCACACUGGGACUGAGACACGGCCCAGACUCCUACGGGAGGCAGCAGUGGGGAAUAUUGCACAAUGGGCGAAAGCCUGAUGCAGCGACGCCGCGUGAGGGAUGAAGGCCUUCGGGUUGUAAACCUCUUUCAGCAGGGAAGAAGCGCAAGUGACGGUACCUGCAGAAGAAGCGCCGGCUAACUACGUGCCAGCAGCCGCGGUAAUACGUAGGGCGCAAGCGUUGUCCGGAAUUAUUGGGCGUAAAGAGCUCGUAGGCGGUUUGUCGCGUCUGGUGUGAAAACUCGAGGCUCAACCUCGAGCUUGCAUCGGGUACGGGCAGACUAGAGUGCGGUAGGGGAGACUGGAAUUCCUGGUGUAGCGGUGGAAUGCGCAGAUAUCAGGAGGAACACCGAUGGCGAAGGCAGGUCUCUGGGCCGCAACUGACGCUGAGGAGCGAAAGCAUGGGGAGCGAACAGGAUUAGAUACCCUGGUAGUCCAUGCCGUAAACGUUGGGCACUAGGUGUGGGGCUCAUUCCACGAGUUCCGUGCCGCAGCAAACGCAUUAAGUGCCCCGCCUGGGGAGUACGGCCGCAAGGCUAAAACUCAAAGGAAUUGACGGGGGCCCGCACAAGCGGCGGAGCAUGCGGAUUAAUUCGAUGCAACGCGAAGAACCUUACCAAGGCUUGACAUGCACG
rnacentral:rRNA from 1 species